AUUGAACGCUGGCGGCAGGCCUAACACAUGCAAGUCGAGCGGAUGAAGGGAGCUUGCUCCUGGAUUCAGCGGCGGACGGGUGAGUAAUGCCUAGGAAUCUGCCUGGUAGUGGGGGAUAACGUCCGGAAACGGGCGCUAAUACCGCAUACGUCCUGAGGGAGAAAGUGGGGGAUCUUCGGACCUCACGCUAUCAGAUGAGCCUAGGUCGGAUUAGCUAGUUGGUGGGGUAAAGGCCUACCAAGGCGACGAUCCGUAACUGGUCUGAGAGGAUGAUCAGUCACACUGGAACUGAGACACGGUCCAGACUACUACGGGAGGCAGCAGUGGGGAAUAUUGGACAAUGGGCGAAAGCCUGACCCAGCCAUGCCGAGUGUGUGAAGAAGGUCUUCGGAUUGUAAAGCACGCUUAGUUGGGAGGAAGGGCAGUAAGUUAAUACCUUGCUGUUUUGACGUUAACAACAGAAUAAGCACCGGCUAACUUCGUG
rnacentral:rRNA from 1 species